rnacentral:tRNA from 1 species
GGAGAGGUGUCCGAGUUGGCCCGAAGGAGCACGAUUGGAAAUCGUGUAGGCGCCAAAAAGCGUCUCGAGGGUUCGAAUCCCUCUCUCCUGCGCCA